GUACACGCUGUGACUAGCAUAUCAAUAAGCGGAGGAAAAGAAACUAACAAGGAUUCCCCUAGUAACGGCGAGUGAAGCGGGAAGAGCUCAAAUUUGAAAUCUUAAAGGGUUUCCCUUUACGAAUUGUAGUUUAAAGAAGUGUUUUCUGUUGAGGUUUUGGUAAAAGUUCUUUGGAAUAGGACAUCAUAGAGGGUGAGAAUCCCGUAUUUGACCUUUACUUUCAACUUUGUGAUACACUUUCAAAGAGUCGGAUUGUUUGGGAAUGCAGUCCAAAAUGGGUGGUAAAUUUCAUCUAAAGCUAAAUAUUGGCGAGAGACCGAUAGCGAACAAGUACCGUGAGGGAAAGAUGAAGAGAACUUUGAAAAGAGAGUUAAACAGUACGUGAAAUUGUCCAAAAGGGAAGCGUUUGACACCAGUGUUGUUUUUCUGAAAAUCAAUUAAAGAACUGUUUAUGCUAAGUUGUUUAGACUUUAUCAGCUAUCUGUUUAGUUUUGAGCUUUUCUUUAAUGCACUUUUCAGUUAGCAAGUCAACAUCAAUUUCUUUUGCUGUAAAAAAGCUUGAGGAAGGUGGCUUGAGAUUCGUCUUAAGUGUUUAUAGCCUCUUGCCUAUGCAGUCGGAGAGAUUGAGGUCUGCAGCGUAGAUCCUUCGGGGCUAAAUGCAUUUGUGCUAAGUUAUAGCAUUUAUAGACAACUUGUUGACUAUGAUUUGUCUUGUAGCUUACUCGCUUAUGUUAUUUUACCUACGCUUAGGAUGUUGACAGCAGUAUAGACUGU
rnacentral:rRNA from 1 species